AACCAUUCUCACCUGCGGCUAGACCUGCGGAAGGAUCAUUACUGAGUCACGUGCUCAAACAACCCUUCUGUGGACCUGAAAUAAAACCGUUGCCUCGGCGGGCGGUCCCCCCCAAACCAACCCCACGUGGUGGGUUAGGGGAGACCAGACGGUCCGGUACGCUUAAGGCGUCCGGCGCCAGCCGCUGGCCCCAAACAAUUAAACUCUAGUAAUCUUUACCUUCUGAAUUUCAAUAUUUAA
rnacentral:misc_RNA from 1 species